UACGGGGGGGAGCAAGCGUUGUUCGGAUUUACUGGGCGUAAAGGGCGCGUAGGCGGUCAGCACAAGUCAGUUGUGAAAUCUCCGGGCUUAACUCGGAAAGGUCAACUGAUACUGUGCGACUAGAGUGCGGAAGGGGCAACUGGAAUUCUCGGUGUAGCGGUGAAAUGCGUAGAUAUCGUAAGGAAGACCAGUGGCGAAGGCGGGUCUCUGGGACAGUUCCUGACGCUGAGGCACGAAGGCCAGGGGAGCAAACGGG
rnacentral:rRNA from 1 species